CCUGGGGCUGCCGCCCGCCUCCUGCCGGGCCCUCGGGCUCGCCCGGCACCGCGGGGCUUGAUCAGGGAGAUAUUUUAGUACAACAUCUUUUCAUCACAGAAAUGAUAUCUUCAGGGAAAAGACUUCGAAAAAGUGCCUGAAGUGACACAACACAUGUUUUCUUCUGGUAUCUGGCUAAAGAAUGAAAUCUGGCAGAAAUAUUUAAUGAAGAGGAAUCUGAACAUAGCAGUUGAGAAAGAAAGAUUGGGAGAAGACUCCAGAUGUCGUAAAGCAAAGAGAGGAUGAGGCACAGGAAGCAGCUCUUAUUAUUUCUGUUGCACUUUGGCUCAGAGAACUCCAAGCAAUUGAUUCUAUCCUGAGGACAUAUUUUUUCAAUUUGAGAUAUAAUUAAUUUGUUUUCCAGUAAAAUAGAUAUUAGUAGAUCUAUGACAUACAGGAAACAAUCGAAAAUAGAGAUAAGUGGUAAUAAUACCUCAUUACUUAAGACAUCUUUUUCAGAAAAUUAUUCUUCAGUGUGUGGUGCAUUGGCUUUCUAGGAAAGAACGGGAGGGAGAACCCUGCUGACAUGAAUAAUGGCCUGGGGGAGAGGGGGAGAGAAGCAAGAGAAAGGAGCAGUUAAGAGGAAAAUGAUGUCAUAUGGAAAGAAGGAAAUAGAUCAGGGCGUCUUUAAGAGCUAAUAUCAAUUGGGUUUAGUGUCUGUAUUUAGAGGAUGGGAGAGAAGAGGUAUCAUCUAGGGUUUUGGCUUGGGCCACAGGUAGAUCUUGUUAAGGCUGUACGAAAUAGAAAAUCCAGGAGGUAACGCAGGUGUGUGGGGGAAAUGAUACAAAUGUAAAUCAUACAAGGAUAUGAACCCUGUAGAUUUUACAACUUUGAGCUCUAUCCUUCUUAGGCCUUCUCUUCUAAGCAGCAUAAACUACUGCUGCCUACAUGUUGCCUGUUCAUAAAGGCUGAGGCAGGGGAGUCGCUUGAACUCGGGAGGCGGAGGUUGCAGUGAGCCGAGAUCAUGCCAUUUCCCUCCAGCCUGGCGACAGAGCAAGACUCCAUCUCAAAAAAAAGAAAAGAGAAGAAAAAAACAAAGAACUUUAUGCACCUUCUGGAAUAACAAAAUGCAA
rnacentral:lncRNA from 1 species